UAAUGCCAGAAGCAAUUUAUUGUUUUUAACUUUUUUAAUAUGAUUUGGGGCAUUUCAGUUUUAUUGGAAAGAGGCAGCAGAGAUCUACUGGAAACAGUGGAGAGGGAGGAGAUGAUAUGCAGCAAAAGGCCCACCCGGAUGGUUGCUGCUCCGUGUGGAACGUGUUCUAUCAGAAAGGAUCAUGCCAGCCCACAUCAAACACCUGAUCAAGAACUUGUGAAUCUUCAGGCAGAACAGAUGAAAACACCUGUUCAAAGUUCCAGUUCCCUGUACAUGGAACCAUGCCUGUAUGGGACUCUGUUCCACAUGUCUUCAGUCAGUCCUGGACCCUAUGACUAGGACACUAGUUCUACCAAGGCUUAUUAGAGAUCUGCUACAUUGGAGGAUUCCAAAGCUGAGCUGGAAGGGGAAGUCACCACCUACAGGACAGCAAAUCUAAACAUUAAUUUGGAUAAAAUAUUAAACCAGGUAUUUUCACAAAAAGAACAAUCUGAGAUACCUGAACAGCGUGAGCCGGCACCCUGGACACCCACACACCCCAAUAAUUCCCCUUCAAAGAGCGAGCCACAUGGGAAGAUUGUUGUCAUUCACUUGCAAGGGGAGAUUCCAGUGCAUCCAGAGGUCUGGGCAAAAAUAAAAAAACAACACGAGGGACUCCAUGUUCGUGAAGGAGUUGGCUGUGG